UACGGAGGGUGCAAGCGUUAUCCGGAUUCACUGGGUUUAAAGGGUGCGUAGGUGGGUAGGUAAGUCAGUGGUGAAAUCUUCGAGCUUAACUCGGAAACUGCCAUUGAUACUAUUUAUCUUGAAUACUUUGGAGGUAAGCGGAAUAUGUCAUGUAGCGGUGAAAUGCUUAGAUAUGACAUAGAACACCAAUUGCGAAGGCAGCUUACUACACAGUCAUUGACACUGAGGCACGAAAGCGUGGGGGAUCAAACAGG
rnacentral:rRNA from 1 species